rnacentral:lncRNA from 1 species
AUUGUUCUCCUUGAUUUACUCCAUCGAUUUGGCAGGACAUAUCCUGUAGUGGUUUCCCGAGAAAGAGCGUGUUAUAGAUUGUCUCCUUUGGUUCUUAAGCCUUGAGACUCAGACUGAAUCACACCACCGGCUUUUCUGGGUCUGCAGCUUGCAGAUAGCAGACUGUGGGACUUCUCAGUCUAUAAUCAUGAAGAUGUUAAGCAAUUUAUUUGAUGUCCUUCAAAAACUAUCUUUAUAAUGAAACAAGAGAAACCAUGAUUAACUAUCAAAUUCAACUUGCUGCACAGCAUAACAAAACUACAGUGGAAUAAAGAAUACGGAGAAUUUUGAGUCAUGCAUCAACUGGGACUUUGGAACACAUCCCCUAGGAUCAGAAGACUUCCGUAUCUGUGUGUAUUCUUGUUGAGUGACAGAAAAAAAGAGUUGUUUCAUAUGCAUUAACUUGGAAGCAUAGAAGACACCCUAAAAGAUAAUGUUGUUUUGAGCUGGCAUAGUCUGCAGGAAUCAGUGUUCUUUUUGGGCUAUAUUUUUGUGAUACAUUUAACUCAUGCUAAGCACCAUAAAAUUUUAUGGCCCAGAGACUGACAGCCAAUUCCUCUUGGGAAUGUAUCCAUCCACCCUCUAUGGCUGAUUCUUUCUGAUCUCUAAGCCUGCUCUGAGGCACUCACUCAGGAAAACUUUUAUCAAGUGUUCAUAAAAACCUGAGAUCGACCUCUCGCUGCAGAUUAGAAUAUCAUCAGAAGAUUUCUGUAAGCCAUGGAAGGCUUUUCUCUUCCUCAGCGGAGAGAAGAUGAAUGGUUUUACAAAUCCCUGAGGAGACUCUGUGGAGCUAUAGACAAAGAUGGAAGAUCUUCCCAUUGAAGCCACAGGGCUCCAUCUUAGCUCUGGCAUUAUAACGCAAAGUCUGGAAAGAACAAAGUCAAGAAGCAUGCGUUUAGUACAGUAUCCCUUUAUUUGGUAGGCCAGUGUGCUGGAAUUUUCAUCAAUACCCAAUUGUCUUCUCCUGGCCACAUACCGGGUGAUAGGAUGAUAGAAAACAAACAAAAUGAAGCAAAGUCACAUAAGUACUUCUGGCCAAUGAAAUGUGAGCCUAGGCAGGUACUAGCUGGUGUAUUUUUUUUCAUGUUCCUUUUCUCUGCGGCAGGGAUUGCAGAAGCUUGUGUUUAGACGGAGACGCUGCAAGAUCAAAGCAUCUUGAAAUGUAUGUACCAUGUGAAAGACAGAAACUCUGGAAUGCCUCUCAGACCUGCAGCAGAGUUUGAGUACAAGGGAAGAAAGCUGUUAUUGCAUCAAGCCACCCAAAUAUGUGGUUUUGUUCCUGUAGCAUAAUCUAUCCUGAUUAAUAUAUGUAGCAACUUCAUGGUGCUAUAUUUAUCAAGAUUCUCCUGCUUCUAAUGAAUCUAUCCAACGGAUCUGCUUUUUACAGUUGGUACUUCAGAAUCGUGGAGCAAAAAUAGAUAAUUUCAUUGUAAACCCCAUCAGCCUCAUCAUCUUCAUGGAUCUUUGUAAAUACCAUUUGUUUACCAGGUAGAGACCAAUUAUCAGCUAAAACGGAGGACCAACCUGUUCAAUUUCCAAAGGUAUAAGCAAUAUUGUUUGUUAAAUAUCCCUUUCUUAAUCAAUUUUGGAAAGGCUUACCUUAUCAUGUAUCAAGAAUUUUGGUUUUUUUUAAAUCAAUUCUCAGUUUUCUACCACUGUUUUAUACAUUUCAGAUUCAGUAACAUCGGCCUCCUUCAAUUGUCACUAUUAUUGAUAAAAUACCCUUCUUUAUCUCUCAUUACUUUUGUCCCAAAUUAAUUUUAGAAUUAUUUAAUUCAAAACUAUAUUGGGAUUUAAGUUGCAGUUGUGCUAAUUUUAUAAGGUAAAUUAGAAAUAUUAAACAUUUAUAUAAUAUUUAGCUGAAAUAUUCAAGUAUGUGGUUUGUCUCCAUCAAUUCUGCCUCUUUAUUUAUCCCAAUAAAAUGUUAUAGUUCC